CACGUAGGGGGCAAGCGUUGUCCGGAUUUAUUGGGCGUAAAGAGCUCGUAGGCGGCUCAGUAAGUCAGGUGUGAAACCUCCAGGCUCAACCUGGAGACGCCACCUGAUACUGCUGUGGCUAGAGUCCGGUAGGGGAGCGUGGAAUUCCUGGUGUAGCGGUGAAAUGCGCAGAUAUCAGGAGGAACACCCGUGGCGAAGGCGGCUCUCUGGAACGCAACUGACGCUGAGACGCGAAAGCGUGGGGAGCAAACAGG
rnacentral:rRNA from 1 species